rnacentral:lncRNA from 10 species
UAAUUGACAGAGCAGGAGCACCAUCAUCUUGGACAACCGCCACUUUAAGUUCCAGCUCCUUUUCUAACCUCAUGCAUCUUAAGAAAAUCACUUCUCUUCUAACAACAAGCAGCCAGAAAGAGCAGACAGUAAAACACAGAUAAGACAGCUCGGGCAUAGAGGGAGGGGGAAAGUCUCUUGGGUAACCACCAAACCUGGCACUCACACAGUGGGCCCCAGAAAAACAGUGGGCUCUAAUAAGCACAUUCCUUUCCCUUUAGGUGCACUAAGAUAGGGAAGCUAAAAGCAGACUUGGGGGGUAUGCCUGCAGCUGCAAGAAGAUGUACGGGAACAGACACAAAAACUCUCUCUCCAGUACCUACUGGACUCUUUGACUUACCUUGACUGGUUUUCUGAAAGAAAAGCCUCCAUGUGGAAGUGUGAAUUCCUCCCUGAAUGGUUGUUGGUGGAGAUGGAAGCUCUGUCCCGAGACAAGACAGUAGGAGAAAGGAAAGCAUCGGUGCCCAAGCCAGCAGAUUUAGACUCCAAAAAACACAAGCAUGUCCCAUCCAGCCCAAGGUUGCAUAUGCUAAGUGACAACAGCCAAGGGGGUACUUACAGAUUUGCACAUUAGGUGCAUUUCCUCUUGUUAUUCCAACCCUGAGCAGAUCAUUUUCCUUUGGGAUUUUACCCUGCUCUGAAUUGAUUUUUUCCCUGUAUUCUCUAUUCCCAAGACACCAUAUUAAGCCUGCAGUGAAUCCAGUCUUUAUUAUUCCUUCUCCAUGGACUUGUUUGCCUUCCAGAGUUCUAACCUCCUAAUGCCUUACUCUAUUCCUCAUUCCCGAGGGAAGGUUUUCUCCUAAGUCUAAACUAAGGAACUUGUCUUAACUAUGUUCCUUGCAUCUCCAAGGUAUUCACUUGUGAUGGGAACACAGCCCUUGAUAUCUCCAGAAUUAUCGCUAUUUUCCUCUUUAACAAGGGGGUGAACUCUGUUCUGAUAUAAAACCGUGAGUCCUACAUUUCUUGAAAUCAUGAUGCUUUUGCCAAAACAAUGAGAAAUUUUGUACUUCUUAAAAAGGUUAAGAGCUGUCAUUUAAUUCUUCAUGUAUAAAACAUCUGGUUACUCUUAAGAGAUAUAUUUGGCUCUUUUCAUGCAAGUUGCCCUGAGAAUAGCACCUUCUAAAGAUUAUUUAAUUUAAUUUUUCAAAAUUUAUUUAUUUAAAUUGACAGAUAAAAUUGUAUUUAUCACAAAAAACAUCACAUUUUGAGGUAUAUAUACAUUACAGAAUGGUUAGGUCUAGCUAAUGGAUAUAUGUUUUACCUCACAUAGUUAUCAUUUUUGUAGUGAAAACACUUAACAUCCACUCUCUUAACAUUUUCCAGAAACACCAUAUAUCAUCCUUAAAUAUAAAAUCUUCAUGCUAUACUAUAGAUCUGCUGAACGUAUUUUUUCUGGCUGCAAUUUUGUAUCCUUUGACAAACAUUUCCCCACUCCUCCUCCC